GGAAGUGUGUGCUAGUGAUCGCAUAGCUGAACAUUGAUCGCUAACGUAGAAAUAUGGCAGAUCUGGUCAGUGAGUGUUGUCACGUGGUCAGCUCCCAAUUACGCGUGUUUUAUUCAUCUCAGAUUUGUGCACGCCUGCACGGUUGAGUCUUCACGUCGCUCCUCGAACUACCGCGAUUUCCACAUUGGGGGGCAAUCGAAUAAGUCAGACGAGGUUAAAUUUGUCGCUAAUAGAUUAGAAAUAAAAUAAAUUUCUCUGUUUCCAGUUUCUCUCA
rnacentral:snRNA from 1 species